GGUCAAGUGAAGAAGCGCAUACGGUGGAUGCCUUGGCAGUCAGAGGCGAUGAAAGACGUGGUAGCCUGCGAAAAGCUUCGGGGAGUCGGCAAACAGACUGUGAUCCGGAGAUGUCUGAAUGGGGGAACCCAGCCAUCAUAAGAUGGUUAUCUUACACUGAAUACAUAGGUGUAAGAGGCGAACCAGGGGAACUGAAACAUCUAAGUACCCUGAGGAAAAGAAAUCAACCGAGAUUCCCUUAGUAGUGGCGAGCGAACGGGGACCAGCCCUUAAGUUGUAUUGAGAUUAGCGGAACGCUCUGGAAAGUGCGGCCAUAGUGGGUGAUAGCCCUGUACGCGAAAAUCCCUUUGCAAUGAAAUCGAGUAGGACGGGGCACGAGAAACCUUGUCUGAAUAUGGGGGGACCAUCCUCCAAGGCUAAAUACUACUGACUGACCGAUAGUGAACCAGUACCGUGAGGGAAAGGCGAAAAGAACCGCGGAGAGCGGAGUGAAAUAGAUCCUGAAACCGUAUGCGUACAAGCAGUGGGAGCCCACUUUGUUGGGUGACUGCGUACCUUUUGUAUAAUGGGUCAGCGACUUAUUUUCAGUGGCGAGCUUAACCGAAUAGGGGAGGCGUAGCGAAAGCGAGUCUUAAUAGGGCGUCUAGUCGCUGGGAAUAGACCCGAAACCGGGCGAUCUAUCCAUGGGCAGGUUGAAGGUUGGGUAACACUAACUGGAGGACCGAACCGACUACCGUUGAAAAGUUAGCGGAUGACCUGUGGAUCGGAGUGAAAGGCUAAUCAAGCUCGGAGAUAGCUGGUUCUCCUCGAAAGCUAUUUAGGUAGCGCCUCAUGUAUCACUGUAGGGGGUAGAGCACUGUUUCGGCUAGGGGGUCAUCCCGACUUACCAAACCGAUGCAAACUCCGAAUACCUACAAGUGCCGAGCAUGGGAGACACACGGCGGGUGCUAACGUCCGUCGUGAAAAGGGAAACAACCCAGACCGUCAGCUAAGGUCCCAAAGUCAUGGUUAAGUGGGAAACGAUGUGGGAAGGCUUAGACAGCUAGGAGGUUGGCUUAGAAGCAGCCACCCUUUAAAGAAAGCGUAAUAGCUCACUAGUCGAGUCGGCCUGCGCGGAAGAUGUAACGGGGCUCAAACCAUGCACCGAAGCUACGGGUAUCAUCUUAUGAUGAUGCGGUAGAGGAGCGUUCUGUAAGCCUGUGAAGGUGAGUUGAGAAGCUUGCUGGAGGUAUCAGAAGUGCGAAUGCUGACAUGAGUAACGACAAUGGGUGUGAAAAACACCCACGCCGAAAGACCAAGGUUUCCUGCGCAACGUUAAUCGACGCAGGGUUAGUCGGUCCCUAAGGCGAGGCUGAAAAGCGUAGUCGAUGGAAAACAGGUUAAUAUUCCUGUACUUCUGGUUAUUGCGAUGGAGGGACGGAGAAGGCUAGGCCAGCCUGGCGUUGGUAGUCCAGGUUUAAGGUGGUAGGCUGAGAUCUUAGGUAAAUCCGGGAUCUUAAGGCCGAGAGCUGAUGACGAGUGUUCUUUUAGAACAUGAAGUGGUUGAUGCCAUGCUUCCAAGAAAAGCUUCUAAGCUUCAGGUAACCAGGAACCGUACCCCAAACCGACACAGGUGGUUGGGUAGAGAAUACCAAGGCGCUUGAGAGAACUCGGGUGAAGGAACUAGGCAAAAUGGCACCGUAACUUCGGGAGAAGGUGCGCCGGUGAGGGUGAAGCAUUUACUGCGUAAGCCCACGCCGGUCGAAGAUACCAGGCCGCUGCGACUGUUUAUUAAAAACACAGCACUCUGCAAACACGAAAGUGGACGUAUAGGGUGUGACGCCUGCCCGGUGCCGGAAGGUUAAUUGAUGGGGUUAGCGUCGAAUGGCGUAACGAUGGCGGCGCUGUCUCCACCCGAGACUCAGUGAAAUUGAAAUCGCUGUGAAGAUGCAGUGUAUCCGCGGCUAGACGGAAAGACCCCGUGAACCUUUACUAUAGCUUUGCACUGGACUUUGAAUUUGCUUGUGUAGGAUAGGUGGGAGGCUUUGAAGCGUGGACGCCAGUCUGCGUGGAGCCAACCUUGAAAUACCACCCUGGCAACUUUGAGGUUCUAACUCAGGUCCGUUAUCCGGAUCGAGGACAGUGUAUGGUGGGUAGUUUGACUGGGGCGGUCUCCUCCUAAAGAGUAACGGAGGAGUACGAAGGUGCGCUCAGACCGGUCGGAAAUCGGUCGUAGAGUAUAAAGGCAAAAGCGCGCUUGACUGCGAGACAGACACGUCGAGCAGGUACGAAAGUAGGUCUUAGUGAUCCGGUGGUUCUGUAUGGAAGGGCCAUCGCUCAACGGAUAAAAGGUACUCCGGGGAUAACAGGCUGAUACCGCCCAAGAGUUCAUAUCGACGGCGGUGUUUGGCACCUCGAUGUCGGCUCAUCACAUCCUGGGGCUGAAGCCGGUCCCAAGGGUAUGGCUGUUCGCCAUUUAAAGU
rnacentral:rRNA from 1 species